ACCUCACGGCGCACUGAACGUGAUUAAUUUCUAUCCAGUGCGUAUGGGACCUAAUCGACCUCAUACAAUAUUGUCUACGUCAUUAUGCUAGGCUUCGUAAGAGAAGCAAUUUGAUAUAUUUGUCUCUGUUGUACUCAUAGAAAUGUUAAAAUAGUCGCACCCCGCACAGAGUGAGAGAACGCGAUUAUGACUGCCGCACCUGCGGUAAGUUCUGCAUGUGGCUUUUUAGACCUCAUAACGCAGUGAGCGUGUUAAAGGUUAAUAAUAAU